GGUGAAUAUACGGUGUUGUGUGUUGUUUUUGAUCUAAUAUUGAUGUUCCUCCUCAUGACCUAACAAAUGGUAUCAUGUGUCUUUGAUUCGAGAAAGAGACCGACUUAAUUGUAUCAUAAGUUAACGGCGCCACAAGCGUGGUGAGUAAGAAACGUUUCGUUAAAGAGUGUCAACGGUGCCACAAGGAUGGUUAGUACGAAAUGUUUGUGUGGUACAAGAGUUUGUGGAAGUAAGAAGAGCUUUCACUUGAGAUAG
rnacentral:lncRNA from 1 species